UCCCGCCGUCGUGGCCGUCGUUCGCGCUUCCCAGGGGCACGCGACAGAGGAUAUGCCCCGCACGGGGAUCGAUCUCCGUCACUGACCUCCGAAAUUGACAACGUCGUCGUCGACGUCGACGUCGACGUUGCGAGUGUGUGGUGAAAAAAUCGUGUGCGCGCAGUUGGAUCGUGUAUCGAUAAUUAAAUUGCCGCAACCGUGGAUAACAACGGCCGGUACGAAAUGCAGAAGCGGGAAAGCAGGGACAACCGCGGCGACAAGGAGCUCGGGACGCGCAGAGAGGAGCGCGACCAGGAGGUCGCCAAACGGACCUCCAGGGGCAGCGCCAACGCCGCCCGGUCGAACGUGCACUCGUCCCGGCACAGCGUCACCUCGUCGUCCGGCGUGCUCAUGGUCGGCCCGAACUUCCGGGUCGGCAAGAAAAUUGGCUGUGGAAACUUCGGGGAGCUUCGUCUCGGGAAGAACCUGUACAAUAAUGAGCACGUAGCAAUUAAAAUGGAACCAAUGAAGUCAAAGGCACCACAGCUACAUUUAGAAUAUAGGUUUUACAAAUUAUUAGGUACACAUGUUCAUAACACACAUAUAGAGGGUAUACCGGAGGUGUACUACUUCGGCCCGUGUGGGAAGUACAACGCCCUGGUAAUGGAGCUUCUUGGUCCAAGUCUCGAGGAUCUCUUCGACCUCUGCGGGAGGAGGUUCACCCUCAAGACCGUUCUCAACAUUGCCACACAGCUCCUCCAUAGGAUAGAAUACGUUCAUAGUCGGCAUUUGAUAUAUCGCGACAUCAAGCCGGAAAAUUUUCUGAUAGGACGAUCCACUACUAAGCGGGAAAAAAUCAUUCACAUAAUCGAUUUUGGACUAGCCAAAGAGUAUAUAGACCUGGAGACGAACAAGCAUAUACCGUAUCGGGAACACAAGAGUCUCACCGGCACGGCGCGUUAUAUGAGCAUUAAUACGCAUCUUGGCAAAGAGCAGAGCAGAAGGGACGACCUGGAGGCGUUGGGCCACAUGUUUAUGUACUUUCUGCGCGGCAGUCUGCCGUGGCAAGGGCUGAAGGCCGACACGCUGAAGGAGCGCUACCAAAAGAUCGGCGACACGAAACGGGCGACGCCGAUCGAAGUGCUCUGCGAUGGCCAUCCCGAGGAGAUGGCCACGUAUCUGCGCUACGUACGCAGGCUGGACUUCUUCGAGACGCCAGACUACGAGUACUUGAGGAAGCUCUUUCACGAUCUAUAUGAGAGACGUGGUUUCGUCAAUGACGGCGAGUUCGACUGGACCGGCAAGACAAUGUCCACGCCCGUCGGAUCCCUUCAAACCGGCCAGGAGAUCGUCGUAUCACCGAAUCGCGAUCGGCAUCCCGCCGCUUACAAGGAUGUGGCAGGUGGAGGGGUGGGAGGUGGGGGCGGUAAGGGGGUGGGAACCACGUGGCCAGAUGUGAAGCAAUCAGGAGCCGGUGGUACAUUGACACCUGCUGACAGGCACGGUUCUGUACAGGUGGUAUCAUCAACUAAUGGAGAACUGGCUAACGAUGACCCGACCGCUGGUCACUCCAAUACACCAAUUACAGCACCUCAGGAAGUGGACAUGAUCGACGAAACCAAUGUUUGCUUCAUUUCCAGAUGCUGUUGCUUCUUCAAACGCAAGAAGAAGAAAAGUGGAAGGCAGAAAUGACUGUCCGUUACCGUUGGUCUCGGGGGGGCGGUGCAGUGCGCGGGUAAUAGUGCCGACGAGACCGUGGGAGUCGUCGCCACGACGUCAAGGACUGGCAAGCGCGGCGCGGGAACGGGAGCACGUGCGGGCGCAGGUACAGCAGGUGGUAUUGUAGGCGGCGCCGAUCCCGAAAGAGAAGCUGUCACCUUGCUGCGUGUCGGCAGCCGAUCCGCAUCACGGGACUCGGUGCUGCACACCACUGUCACAAUGACGCCGACGCCGACGCCGCCGCCGCUGUCGAACUGAAUCAUCAUCAUCACUAUCAUCACCAUCACCAUCACCAUCACACAACCAUUCUACUACCGUCGCCGCUAUUAUCAUUAAUUGACAGUUGCGCGACUAAGUCGAGAUCGAGAGAAUGAAGCUGCUUUUCCUCUGGCCAAUCGAGCUGAUCUCUUCGAUAAAUAAGCGGACUCGCUGACGACGAUUCAUACAUUCACUUCUCGGUACAAUGAAACUUUGUAGUAGUUCCAAUAUCGUUUCGAGAAUUGAAUUUAGAAUUAUCUUGGCUAUGUUACAAUAAAAGCGCGGUCGAGUAUCGAUUUUAUUUAAAACUCUGUAUUCGGAAAACUUUAAUACAUCGGAUUUUCAUUGAGCUUUGUCGAAAGUUUGUCAGCUCUUUUUCGUCAACUCAUUUCUUUUAAUAUAAUACAACUGGAUAGAGAAUGGCUAAUAAUAUUUUACGAUAAUAAUAUGAAAUUUUUUUCGGAAAAAUUCAAUUGUUGGUUCUUAAUCAAGCAUUGAAAUCCAAGAAAAAAAUUCAGGAUAUCUGUUAGCAGUAUUUUUACAAUGGAUAAUGAUGUGAUCAACAAAAUGGAAAUUAGUGAAAUGUAAAAAGAUGUUUGCAUGCUUUUGCAUGUUUUCGAUGAGACUUCUCAUCUCUAUAACUGAUAAAUUUAAUUAUUUAAUUAUAAAAAUUUUCACGUAUAAACUUUCACCAAGGUCAGUUAAUACAUUUUUAGCCAUUGGUAUCUAUCUUUUUGAAUGCACUUCAUAUGCAUCUUGCAAUUUCAUUGGAUUCACAUAUCUUUUCCUCAUUUUCACGAAGGGGCUGAUAAAUAUUCCAUGUGACCUUGAGCUACUGAUAAAAGUCAAGACGUUAGCGAAUCCAGUUACCUACUUACUGAAUAAAUCCUCUCGUUUAGCCAAGAAAAGUGACCUCGUGCUAUUAGAUUAUUGCUACUAUCGUCAUGAUUACAUUUCAUCUUGUUGCUGCCCACUACCUACUACUACUAUUAUUUACUACUGCUACCAUUACUACUACUAGGUACUACGAUUACUAUUAUUAUAAUGAUUAUCUUUCAUAAUUUUAUUUCAUUAUUAUUAUUGAUAUUAUUAUUAUGUUGAUCAUCUUUAUCAUCAUCGUCAUUGUCAUCGUCGUUGGUCAUGAUCGUCAUCGUUUCCAUUGUCAUUAUCAUCAUCAUCAUCCCCAUUGUCAACACACCCGUUUAUCAAUUACGUUGUUAUCGAUGUCAUCAAUGUAUUGACACUGUCGCUGUUGACUGAGAACGGUCGUCGGCCGUAACGGCGGCCAAUGACGUUUCAGUAUCGGGAAACCAAUCGGAUCACAUUCGCAUUAUAUAGAAGUAAGAAGGAAUUGACGUACCGAUGUUGAGAGAACUUGUUUGUGCCUACGACUCUCUUCUUGUAACACGGGGACGCUUUUUAAUACACCGCCGUGUCGUGUGAUGAAUACACGUUCGGCGGCUUUGUCGUGCGAUCGCAUGUAUAACUGUGAAUUAUAACGAAUUGUGAAGCUACCACAGAUCUCAUUGUAUUCACAGCCCUACAGGAUGAACGAGUGUAGCGUGUUCUCGAAUUUGUUGUAAUCGUGAUUUCGAGUAUCGCGAAGUCCGAUUACGAUCCUCUUGAAAGGCAUGAAACCGAAAAGAACGAGAUUACGAUGAUCGUGUUCCAUCGGCCCGCAGGGAGGGGAUUGAGACGUUGGAUAUUUGUAAAUAAGCGCUUUCAUUUUAUCCCUUGUUACGCGUCCACAAGUUAUAAAUCAUAUGAUACAUCGCAAAUCGCGAGAACAUAUAGUGCUGUGUAUAAAAUAAAAGUUUACGUUCUAAUUUUAUUAGAUAUUUUUUAUUUUGAUUUUUCUUUUAAUCCACCGUCCAAGUGACACGGAAUGAUUCUAAUGCAUUGGAAUAUUUAUACUAGGAUAUAUUUGUAGUAUACAUACGAGCCUUCCGUAUAGUAAAUAACUUUUAUAUAAUUUCAAUUUUGAGUUAUAUAUCGUAGUAGAUGCGAGAGAUUAGCAGCAUUAUUAAUAAGCGCUAAUCGUGUCCGUACUAAAAUUUAAACUAUCCCAGUGCGUUGAUUAUCGAAAUGUUUUAUAUGUACACUGCCUAUUUUUUCUACACGAGGAUCAUGGAUGCACGAUAGUUCUAUUAUUGCUGUACGGAUCGUAGGCAUUCAAGAAUAUUUCACUGUGAAUUCCUCAAGCGAAAUAUCUCUUUAUGAAUAUCUCGACGCGAUUGCACGAUAUCGCGCAUUAUUUAUUAAUAUUUCCCAUCCGCCCGCAUACAUUCAUAAUUUUGAAAUACUGCUCGACAUAAAUCACGCAAAGAAUUCGCACACGGUUUCCAUAGCAAUAUCAUGAGUUUCGGUUUCAUGCCUUCCAAAACGAAAUUAUCAUGUGAGAAAGUGGUCUAUCGCAAUGAACAGUUGAAAUAAUUACAUUUUACAUAACAUAUCGAUGAAGUAAGAUUUUUUCUGUCUGUAGACUCUAUAGUAUAUAUGAAAAUUUAGUAACGCGUAAAUGCGAGAAAAUUAUGUGACAUAGCCGAAAUUAUGUGACAUUGCAGUCGAUUCGUGUUCCACCACCAGUGUGUAUCGAUUUUAAAAAAGGGGGGGGGGGAGAAAGAAAAAAAAACGAUAAAAAGAAAAAAGAGAAGCGUUUCUUUCGAUACGAAUUAUCUCCUCUGCGAAGAAAAUACGACGUUCGCGGACAGCUCUUGUUUCUUAAUCCAUGCGCAUUUCGAAUAUUCUUAAAAAAAGGACAUUAACGAACAAGGAGAGAAUCAAUGGUAUGUCCGCGUUUAUUCUUGAAAUAAAAAUCUACAUCGUCGGAAUUAAUAAUAAAAAGCUGGAACCGAAUGUACGUGAUCUUUAUCGAGACAAUUUGAUCUAAAUACGAAACUGAAGGGACGAAUUAUCGAGAACGGUGCACAUGCAAUAACAUAAAGAUUCACUUUGUAACAAACUUUGCUGCAUAUUUAAUCCCACUAUUUUUCAUGAUGCGAUGAGGAGAGCCUUAUCGUCGCGAGGCAUUUCUAGGGAUUUACACGAAGUAACACGUACGAUUUUCUGCUAAUGGUUCGCGACGAAAACAUUUAAGCGACCAAGAGACAAAUGAGACGAAUACGUAUGAAAAAUCCGGAAAGCACGGAGAACAAGGAUCUCAUCAGGCAUAUUCAUUAAACAAGCAAGAACACGGUAAACGGUGACGUCGAGCGUAGGGGUAGGGGCGCGGAGGUGGUGGGUGUGAAGAAACUUGCGUUACGUCCAAUGGUCCACACCUACACGCUAGUCUGACCGACAACCGCUCUCGAGAUGUAUAUGCGCAUACGUACUAUGUAAUACGCCCGUACACCACGUUGUAUCCACGUUGAAUACCUUAAAUUAUCCGGCAAACGCGUCCGACAACAGGAAACCCAUGUACUUACGGAGCUACCCGCGUACUCGAACCGUAGUGUAUACUCGACCGUGUGUGCUCUCGUACGAUAAAAAGGCGAACAAGAGACGGAAGAGAGGGAGAGAAUCACACUCCGUCGAAACGUCUUGAAAAGUGAUACGCUUAAAAAUCAUAGAGAUUAUAAACUACGCUCUAUGGGAUUUCAUCUUUCUCUCUCUCUCCCUCCCUUUCUCUCUCUCCCAUUAUCUGUAUCUUCCCACUGUCGACGCACGCCGAGAGCAUCGCGUUCCUUUCUUUUGUAAGCUCGCCGCAAUUGGCGAUCGAAACAAUCAGUCGUUUUACAUUUAUAUUCAGCGGAUGUGGAAGGAGAGUGAGUGAUCCGACGAAUGCCUGAUGCUGGAUGAUAUCUGCGGUGCGCGUGGAAAGAGAACGAGUCAAGAAGAGACGUUACUCCGGGACGCUUUUCUCCCGGCGAAGGCUGAUCCGUAGCUUCAAUGCGCAAGUCGUAUCCGCCGUUACUCCCGUACUUGUACAUAAAACGCUAGACCGCGAUCGUCGCGUACGCGAGUUGUCCUCGCGAGUAGAAUUUGUUCGCGCGAUAAAUCCAAUAGCGAGCGGCACAUGUGUGUAAUUGUAAUUCCCGAUCGGAUAUGAGGAGAACACGUGCGUGCGUGUGCGCGUGAGAGAUCCACGUAAACGCGACAGAGAGAGUGAGAGAGAAAGAGAAAGUCUCCGAUAUUUAUAUCACUGUCCUGCCACCGGGAAAUCCGUGCUGGCGUAAUUAUAAUAAAUCCCACUGUGCAACCAUGUUGCGCAAGGACGUUUAGCCCGUAGUUUUCUAGCCGAUUUUUCAAAGCGCGCGCGCAAAGUCACGAUUUUUAAUAUAACACGACUGACUGCUGGUUAAGUAUGGUUGUGAGCAAGAGUCCUGAUCUCCUCGGACAUUGUAGAGUGUACACACACGCAUACAUAUAUACAUACACAACCCACACGACACUCGAGGUAAACAUUCUAAAUAGUGACCAAACAUGUACACUUAUCAUUAAUCUCAAAUGGUUUUAUUAUAAUAUUAAAUCAUAAUCGUAUUUAAAACUGAGAAAAAUACAACGACUAAUGAAAUUAUUAGCAUGGUUGUAAUCAUGCAAAUUAAAGUGUAUAAACUUUAAAUCCUUUAUAACAUCGAACGUUUCGACUCUCUGGAAUCAUUCCAGCGCACAUUAUAGAAUAUAGUCAAUCAUUCGUUCGACUACGGUUGAGUCACUAACAGAUUGCCAAAUCUGUAAAUAUUUCAAGAUUACAAUUAAAUUUUAAUAUUAUAACAAGAAAAAGUAUUUGAAAUUAAUAAUAAAUUUUUGUAUAAAUGUUUGAUCACUAAGACGGUUACCUUACAUAUACAUUGAACACCUUCCAAUUCCCUUAGAUACGUACCUUGCACGGAGAGAAGAGCGAUUGUUGCAUACGCGCUUAGGAUGGGAAUUAAGGCUUGUUGUAAUCCAAAACGACCAUCUUCUCCGCUCGAGAGAUACAUUUCCUUUUCUUCUUUUUUUUUUGUAUAUUUGUAAAUUGAUACGAGUAGAGAGAUCGGGUCAGGACCGAUAUAUCCUCGGUGUCUUUCAUUCCACGGCUCAUCGGUCGAAGAGCGACGUAAACAGCGAUAAAUGUGGUCUUGCGUAUCUGGAAAAAAAUGAGGCUGCGUAAUUAAUUAUCUUGUUGCGUAAGAGAGAGAGAGAGAAAGAGAGAGCUCGGAUGAUCGCGUUUUCCCUCGUGUGUUGUGAUUGUUUAGUUGCAUUGAUACGUCGAUUCGGCGAUGUUGGAGAGAUGUCGAUGAGAGACUCCUGAGAUUAAGUUAAUCAGCACUAUAGUUUCUCGCGUAGUGAGGCUUAUGUGUAUACAUUUUUUGACUUACUAUAUGUUCGUACUGUUUUAAUGGACGAAUUGUUGAACAAUAAAAUCGCUGAUUGCUACGAUAAUAAUAAAUCGCCGUUUUUAUGAGAUUGGUAGCUCACAUGUGCAGGUACACACAUUCGUGUGUUGAUAUUUUUUAUUUAAACACGAGAUAUAUGAAACAUAAUUAACGUUAUAAUUAAAUAACGGAAUGAUUAUGUGGAUUGUAAGUUAGCAACGUUUUUACAGACACACGAG